rnacentral:rRNA from 1 species
UAGGGAAUUUUCCACAAUGGACGAAAGUCUGAUGGAGCAACGCCGCGUGAACGAUGAAGGUCUUCGGAUUGUAAAGUUCUGUUGUUAGGGACGAAUAAGUACCGUUCGAAUAGGGCGGUACCUUGACGGUACCUGACGAGAAAGCCACGGCUAACUACGUGCCAGCAGCCGCGGUAAUACGUAGGUGGCAAGCGUUGUCCGGAUUUAUUGGGCGUAAAGCGCGCGCAGGCGGCUAUGUAAGUCUGGUGUUAAA